rnacentral:lncRNA from 1 species
ANUAUAAUUAUUGGGGGUAAAAAUACAAUAUCCAAAUGACAUACGACAACACAUAAAAUAUAUUAGGUGUUUGCGUCUUCUCUAGGGACUUUCAAUUAAAAACUAAAUUUGUAAACUCUUAAAGGUAUUUAUUUAUCUCCUGGGAUUAAGCAAUUCACGCACUAUUUUACAUUUACAAUAAGUGUUGCUUAUGCAUUUUCCUCUAUAAGGAGGCCGGCAAUACAUUUUGUUUUGAUAAUCUGAAUCAUCAAAACAUUUGAUUCUCUCUGCUGCAAUAAAAAAACACUAUAUGGUUAUUAAAAUGAAAAAAAAUAUAACGUAUGAAAUAAAACAGAACAUUUAAAAUGAAUGAACAAAAGUUACCUUUAAUUUUCGUUCCAAUAAAAAAUAGAAAGAAUAAUAUAAUCAUAACCUAAGGAAAAUUUAUUACUUCUACCAUAUUUCUCCUCGUUAUUUUUAAUAAAUUAUUUUGUAACUUCAUAGUUUAUGAAUAAGAGUGGAUCCUCGCCUUUAAUAAUUUUUACUUGUGGACACUUAGUUGUAAAAUAAAUCUUAAAAUUAAAUUAAUUAGUAUAUAACUUUUCGAUACAUCAUUUUGUUGUCUUUGUUCCUCUUCAAGCAUAUCCAAAAAAGGAUGUAAAUAAAACUUGUCUAUCAUAAAAAUAUAUUCUUCUUAAUAAAAAUUUUAAUCAUUUUAUAUUAUUUUACCUCGGAUGUGAAUGGGAGAUUACCUCAGUUAUAGAGAUGGGAUACCAAAGAGCGUCAAAAAAAACUAACAUCUAUCGAUCGGUUUUGAAUAACCGAGGGGAAAGGUGAAAAGUCAUUCAUUUGAUCCCCAGUGUAGGUCGGAUUUUUUAAUACUGAGGGGUAUAACCAAUGUUUUUUAAAAUUCCAUUUUAACUGACCUUGAUCAUUUUAUAUAGAUCCUACAAAUUAGGUAGAGAAUCAUAUCAUUGUAUUUUAUUUAGAAUAUAAAACAAAAUACAAUUUUACAUGUUUAUAAAGCAAAUGUACAAUCCUUGCAAUACUUAUCGUGAUAUUGGUAUACACAAAACCUAUGCCAAGAGAACCUAUACAUAUUUCACCUAAAUUGACAAAACAUUUACACAAUGCUAGUGUAUAGAUAAAAAUCAAGAAAAACUAGUGUUUACUAGAUUCAUAAUGACAUAAGAAACACUUGCACAACGUGAUCGGAUGUCAUCUAUAUCCUCUUGUGGAAAUGGUGUUUUAUUGCUAGACGCUUAUAAUUUGAACAAAAUUUAAAUUAUGAUAAGAUAACUACAACAAUAAUAAAAUAACAAUUAUACAUAAAUUACAUGUAUAUGGAUAAAGUUAAUACCUUAUUCAAUGAAUUAAUAAUGCCAUUAGAGAAAAUAUUAGACAUAUGUAUCAUAGUAUUAUAUCGACAUAUAAAGUUCUGUGAUUAUCUUCGCUGCUACAAAUAAUUUCAUAUUGUUACUAAUUAAUACACACAAGACACAAGUAAUACAUUAGAGAAACUAAAAUAAUAUCAAAAAGCAUAAGUAAUACUUACACGUGGUUCUAUGAACUUUAGCUUUUUACCCUGUAUAUUACGUUUCACAAAUUGUAUCCCUCCAAAUCAUUACAUGAUGGUAAAAAUCAAACAUGAAUAAAACUUUUCAAGACUAAAGGUAAAAUUUGAGUAUUCCAAAUAAUACCACUUACGCACUUAAAAUCUUUUGUAUAUCUUCAUCAAGAUGACAAUGUAACCAGCAUAACAUAACUAUAAUAUUUUUCUUCUGACAUAAAAUAAUUAAUUGCAAAUGUUUGCUACAUAAAAACAUAGAAUAAUUACCAAUGUGUGUAUAAAUUGAUUUAUAAAUGAAAACACAAAUUAAAUCAUAUACUUAAUUAUGGAUAAAUUAUGACAUGUAAUAUCUUUUAUUCUCUUUAACCAACUUGUUUGUAUGCGUAUAUGGAUAUUGUUUGGUUAAAUUACCUUAAAAUUGAAUGUUCAAUGAAUCUAUGAAAUAAUAUGCUUUCAAUUUUCUUUCGACACUUGUCUCAUGCAUGACCCUAAUUAAAGGUAAUGCAAAUGUCAAAAUUUUAUGUUAAAGUAUGAGAACAAUGAAUUAGGGAAUCUCGUCUAUCAUACUAAAUAAUCUUUUUCAUUUCCAUUUAGUUAGAUUUGCAAAUAAGAGUGUUAGAUUACAUUAUUUUAUUUCCUCUGAAUACUAUGUUGUAUGAUAUAACAGAAGAAAUUAUUGUUUUAUUAGGGUGCUUGAGUAGAGGUUGUAUCUCGCUCCAACUGAAUUGAUAAAACAUCAUUCGUUUGUGAAACGUUUUUAGUCGCGCUGAGGAAGAAGUAAGAUUCAUGGGUUGAAAUUAUUUUAGGUUGAAGAUGAUAUUCGAAAGGAAAGAUAUACUCCUUUAUAGAUAAAAGUAAAAAUAAAAUUAGAGAGGAAAUGACUCGCUCGUAAUGAGCGUAUUGGCUCUCUGCAUUUUAAAACAGGGUUCUAGGGUCACAUCCUCUUCAAGUAAUUUCUUGACUAACAUGUAUCUCUAUUUAAGACUCAUAUAAAGUUUGAAUAAAAACUUUAUGACACAGGAAAGAAAAUUAUUAAUAGAAGAGGUAACAAGUCUGAAUGGAUAAAAUACAAAGAUUAUUAGUGAAAUAAAAUCUACUAAAGUACGAAUAUUCUGCUCUUACUACACACAAGUAACAUUUAAUAUUAAUCUCCAUAAAAAUUUCUUAUGGUUAUUAUAAAAAUAACAAUUAAUUAUAUCUCCAUAGUUUUUCAAAGGUUAUUAUAUGUGUAUUGAUAUUUUAUUUGUUUGCAUCUUUUAAAAGGUGAACAAGCGCCACCGUAACUAUUAAAAAGUAGAGAAAUAUAAAUUGAAGAAUGAGAAAGAUCAAUAGCUUAUAAUAUUAUAUAUAAAUAUAGAAGUAUAAAAUUGUAAGAAACUUUAAAUUAUUUUCAAUUUAUUUUUAAGAUACUUUGAGAGGUGAUAGGAUGGAAAAGAAAAUGUGAUAUGCAUAAAUUGAAGGUCAUGAAUAUUUCUCUAAAAUUUAAAGUGAAGAAGAUACUAAAAAUAUUAUUACUUGUUGUCCUAUUUCAUUUCAUUACAAUAAUACUAGUGUGAAAUCCACAACUAUAGGUUGUGAAAUAAAAUUUAAACAAAAAUAUAAUUAUUGGGGUAAAAUAAAUAUCCAAAUGACAUACGACAACACAUAAAAUAUAUUAGGUGUUUGCGUCUUCUCUAGGGACUUUCAAUUAAAAACUAAAUUUGUAAACUCUUAAAGGUAUUUAUUUAUCUCCUGGGAUUAAGCAAUCCACGCACUAUUUUACAUUUACAAUAAGUGUUGCUUAUGCAUUUUCCUCUAUAAGGAGGCCGGCAAUAUAUUUUAUUUUGAUAAUCUGAAUCAUCAAAACAUUCGAUUCUCUCUGCUGCAAUAAAAAAACACUAUAUGGUUAUUAAAAUGAAAAGAAAUAUAACGUAUGAAAUAAAACAGAACAUUUAAAAUGAAUGAACAAAAGUUACCUUUAAUUUUCGUUCCAAUAAAAAAUAGAAAGAAUAAUAUAAUCAUAACAUAAGGAAAAUUUAUUACUUCUACCAUAUUUCUCCUCGUUAUUUUUAAUAAAUUAUUUUGUAACUUUAUAGUUUAUGAAUAAGAGUGGAUCCUCGCCUUUAAUAAUUUUUACUUGUGGACACUUAGUUGUAAAAUAAAUCUUAAAAUUAAAUUAAUUAGUAUAUAACUUUUCGAUACAUCAUUUUGUUGUCUUUGUCUCUUCAGCAUAUCCAAAAAAGAUGUAAAAUAAAACUUGUCUAUCAUAAAAAUAUAUUCUUCUUAUAAAAAAUUUUUAAUCAUUUUAUAUUAUUUUACCUCGGAUGUGAAUGGGAGAUUACCUCAGUUAUAGAGAUGGGAUACCAAAGAGCGUCAUAAAAAACUAACAUCUUAUAGAUCGGUUUUGAAUAACCGAGGGGAAAGGUGAAAAAGUCAUUCAUUUGAUCCCCAGUGUAGGUCGGAUUUUUUUAAUAAUUGAGGGGUAUAACCAAUGUUUUUUAAAAUUCCAUUUUGACUGACCUUGAUCAUUUUCUAUAUAGAUCCUACAAAUUAGGUGACAGAAUCAUAUCAUUUGUAUUUUAUUUAGAAUAUAAAACAAAAUACCAAUUUUACAUUGUUUAUAAAAGCAAAUGUACAAUCCUUGCAAUACUUAUCGUGAUAUUUGAUAUACACAAAACCUAUUCCAAGAGAACCUAUACAUAUUUGCACCUAAAUUGACAAAACAUUUACACAAUGCUAGUGUAUAGUUAAAAAUCAAGAAAAACUAGUGUUGACUAGAUUCAUAAUGACAUAAGAAGACACUUGCACAACGUGAUCGGAUGUCAUCUAUAUCCUCUUGUGGAAAUGGUGUUUUAUUGCUAGACGCUUAUAAUUUGAACAAAAUUUAAAUUAUGAUAAGUUAACUACAACAAUAAUAAAUUAACAAUUAUACAUAAAUUACAUGUAUAUGGAUAAAGUUAAUAC